GUCGAGCGGCAUCGAGUGAGCGCAGUUUACUGAGUUCAUGUCGGCGAGCGGCGGACGGGUGAGUAAAGUCUGGGAAUCUGGCCGAAGGAGGGGGAUAACUGCUGGAAACGGCAGCUAAUACCGCAUGAAGUCGCGAGACCAAAGUGGGGGACCUUCGGGCCUCACGCCUUCGGAUGAGCCCAGAUGAGAUUAGCUGGUAGGUAAGGUAAAGGCUUACCUAGGCGACGAUCUCUAGCGGGUCUGAGAGGAUAGCCCGCCACACUGGAACUGAGACACGGUCCAGACUCCUACGGGAGGCAGCAGUGGGGAAUAUUGCACAAUGGGCGAAAGCCUGAUGCAGCCAUGCCACGUGUGUGAAGAAGGCCUUCGGGUUGUAAAGCACUUUCAGCGAGGAGGAAGCGAUAAAUGCCAAUACCAUU
rnacentral:rRNA from 1 species